rnacentral:rRNA from 1 species
CGGGACACGAGGAAUCCUGUCUGAAUCCGGGUCGACCACGAUCCAACCCUAAAUACUAAUACCAGAUCGAUAGUGCACAAGUACCGUGAGGGAAAGGUGAAAAGAACUGAGGUGAUCAGAGUGAAAUAGAACCUGAAACCAUUUGCUUACAAUCAUUCAGAGCCCUAUGUAGCAAUACAGGGUGAUGGACUGCCUUUUGCAUAAUGAGCCUGCGAGUUGUGGUGUCUGGCAAGGUUAAGCAAACGCGAAGCCGUAGCGAAAGCGAGUCUGAAUAGGGCGCUUAGUCAGAUGCUGCAGACCCGAAACGAAGUGAUCUAUCCAUGAGCAAGUUGAAGCUAGUGUAAGAACUAGUGGAGGACUGAACCCAUAGGCGUUGAAAAGCCCCGGGAUGACUUGUGGAUAGGGGUGAAAGGCCAAUCAAACUUCGUGAUAGCUGGUUCUCUCCGAAAUAUAUUUAGGUAUAGCGUUGUGUCGUAAUAUAAGGGGGUAGAGCACUGAAUGGGCUAGGGCAUACACCAAUGUACCAAACCCUAUCAAACUCCGAAUACCUUAUAUGUAAUCACAGCAGUCAGGCGGCGAGUGAUAAAAUCCGUCGUCAAGAGGGAAACAACCCAGACUACCAGCUAAGGUCCCUAAAUCUUACUUAAGUGGAAAACGAUGUGAAGUUACUUAAACAACCAGGAGGUUGGCUUAGAAGCAGCCAUCCUUUAAAGAAAGCGUAAUAGCUCACUGGUCUAGUGAUUUUGCGCGGAAAAUAUAACGGGGCUAAAGUAAGUACCGAAGCUGUAGACUUGCACACAACUUAGAUUAUUUAAGUUUAGAAUAUGAGAAACUAAGUUAUAUGUUUAGUUAUAUUUUUACUGAUUUUUAUAGAGUAAAGAUAGAAAUAAAACUUAGUAAAAUCAGUAAAAAUAUUCUUAGACUAAAGUUAAGUAGUUUAAGUUGUGUGCAAGUGGUAGGAGAGCGUUCUAUUUGCGUCGAAGGUAUACCGGUAAGGAGUGCUGGAGCGAAUAGAAGUGAGCAUGCAGGCAUGAGUAGCGAUAAUUAAUGUGAGAAUCAUUAACGCCGUAAACCCAAGGUUUCCUACGCGAUGCUCGUCAUCGUAGGGUUAGUCGGGUCCUAAGUCGAGUCCGAAAGGGGUAGACGAUGGCAAAUUGGUUAAUAUUCCAAUACCAACAUUAGUGUGCGAUGGAAGGACGCUUAGGGCUAAGGGGGCUAGCGGAUGGAAGUGCUAGUCUAAGGUCGUAGGAGGUUAUACAGGCAAAUCCGUAUAACAAUACUCCGAGAACUGAAAGGCUUUUUGAAGUCUUCGGAUGGAUAGAAGAACCCCUGAUGCCGUCGAGCCAAGAAAAGUUUCUAAGUUUAGCUAAUGUUGCCCGUACCGUAAACCGACACAGGUGGGUGGGAUGAGUAUUCUAAGGCGCGUGGAAGAACUCUCUUUAAGGAACUCUGCAAAAUAGCACCGUAUCUUCGGUAUAAGGUGUGGUUAGCUUUGUAUUAGGAUUUACUCCGAAAGCAAGGAAACUUACAACAAAGAGUCCCUCCCGACUGUUUACCAAAAACACAGCACUCUGCUAACUCGUAAGAGGAUGUAUAGGGUGUGACGCCUGCCCGGUGCUCGAAGGUUAAUUGAUGGGGUUAGCAUUAGCGAAGCUCUUGAUCGAAGCCCGAGUAAACGGCGGCCGUAACUAUAACGGUCCUAAGGUAGCGAAAUUCCUUGUCGGUUAAAUACCGACCUGCAUGAAUGGCGUAACGAGAUGGGAGCUGUCUCAAAGAGGGAUCCAGUGAAAUUGUAGUGGAGGUGAAAAUUCCUCCUACCCGCGGCAAGACGGAAAGACCCCGUGGACCUUUACUACAGCUUGACACUGCUACUUGGAUAAGAAUGUGCAGGAUAGGUGGGAGGCUUUGAGUAUAUGACGCCAGUUGUAUAUGAGCCAUUGUUGAGAUACCACUCUUUCUUAUUUGGGUAGCUAACCAGCUUGAGUUAUCCUCAAGUGGGACAAUGUCUGGUGGGUAGUUUGACUGGGGCGGUCGCCUCCCAAAUAAUAACGGAGGCUUACAAAGGUUGGCUCAGAACGGUUGGAAAUCGUUCGUAGAGUAUAAAGGUAUAAGCCAGCUUAACUGCAAGACAUACAAGUCAAGCAGAGACGAAAGUCGGUCUUAGUGAUCCGGUGGUUCUGUGUGGAAGGGCCAUCGCUCAAAGGAUAAAAGGUACCCCGGGGAUAACAGGCUGAUCUCCCCCAAGAGCUCACAUCGACGGGGAGGUUUGGCACCUCGAUGUCGGCUCAUCGCAUCCUGGGGCUGGAGCAGGUCCCAAGGGUAUGGCUGUUCGCCAUUUAAAGCGGUACGCGAGCUGGGUUCAGAACGUCGUGAGACAGUUCGGUCCCUAUCUGCCGUGGGCGUAAGAAGAUUGAAGAGAUUUGACCCUAGUACGAGAGGACCGGGUUGAACAAACCACUGGUGUAGCUGUUGUUCUGCCAAGAGCAUCGCAGCGUAGCUAAGUUUGGAAAGGAUAAACGCUGAAAGCAUCUAAGCGUGAAGCCAACUCUAAGAUGAAUCUUCUCUAAGCUCUCUAGAAGACUACUAGUUUGAUAGGCUGGGUGUGUAAUGGAUGAAAGUCCUUUAGCUGACCAGUACUAAUAGAGCGUUUGGCUUAUCUUUAAUAAAGCAU